UACGGGGGGGGCAAGCGUUGUUCGGAAUUACUGGGCGUAAAGGGCUCGUAGGUGGCCAACUAAGUCAGACGUGAAAUCCCUCGGCUUAACCGGGGAACUGCGUCUGAUACUGGAUGGCUUGAGUUUGGGAGAGGGACGCGGAAUUCCAGGUGUAGCGGUGAAAUGCGUAGAUAUCUGGAGGAAUACCGGUGGCGAAGGCGGCAUCCUGGACCGACAUUGACGCUGAGGAGCGAAAGCCAGGGGAGCAAACGGG
rnacentral:rRNA from 1 species